AACGUAGGAGACGAGCGUUAUCCGGAUUUACUGGGCGUAAGGCGCGUGCAGGCGGCACGGAAAGUUGGAUGUGAAAGCUCCCGGCUUAACUGGGAGAGGUCGUUCAAAACUACCGAGCUAGAGUAUGGGAGAGGGAAGCGGAAUUCCGGGUGUAGUGGUGAAAUGCGUAGAUAUCCGGAGGAACACCAGUGGCGAAAGCGGCUUCCUGGCCCGAGACUGACGCUCAGACGCGAAAGCUAGGGUAGCAAACGGGAUUAGAGACCCCGGUAGUCCUAGCCGUAAACGAUGUAGACUGGGCGUUGGGGGGUUCAAAUCCUUCAGUGCCGGAGCAAACGCGAUAAGUCUACCGCCUGGGGAUUACGGCCGCAAGGUUAAA
rnacentral:rRNA from 1 species